rnacentral:lncRNA from 1 species
GAAGUUGUUGCUGGACAUAUCAAAGGCCCUUUUGAGAGUGGACAUGAGAUGGGGAGGGAGGCCAUUGGUGGUAUGGUAGUGAGGUGGGAGUUCAGGCAAGUCAUCAUGUGGAAGAUGGAGUUCCACAAAUUCAAUGCAAUGAGAAUAUUUUUGGGAGAGUUUAGGCUUGAUGGAGCUGAGAUUUACAGGCGUGGAACAAAUAAAGAUGUGAAAAUUUCUCUUGGUGGUCAGCUUCUUGGCUAGCUCUAGGUAGGGAGAUAUAUGGCCGUGAGCUAGCCAUGGAAGCAUAAGAAUAGUAAGUUUUCUUUGGUCAGAGUAAACCAUAUUUUGUUUUCCUUUCACUCUUUUGCUUGAGGUUGCUCGAUUAUAGGCUUAUUGGUAGUUUUUUUGUAGCUAGCUCUAUGCAUAUAUAUAUAUAUAUACACACACAUUCAUGGGAAAAGAGGCUUGGGGAUGGGAAAUCAAUUGAUUUCCUAUGUUUGGUAAAGUUCGGGUAUGAGAAAUCGUUGCUUUGCACAUGAGAAAGUAGAGGGGAAAGUGAAGCCCUCCUCCUUCCUUAGGUUUUGUUUUCCUCCUCAUGGGAAAGUUUGGGAAAAUGAGCUAAUAUUAAAUACAUAUUUUUCAUGACCAUAUUAUCCCCAUUAAUAAUUUAGAAUUACAUAAAUGCAUUCUAUUUUUAUUUGAUUUCAUAUGGGUAUAAUUGAAAAAUUAAACAAAUUUUGUUUUACAUUCCUACACAAACCAAACAUGUGAAAGGAAAUAAAGUGGUAUUUCUUGGUUACUUUCCCAAGAUUACCAAACAUAGGAAAGGAAUCUCUAUUUCCCAUCCCUUAGAAAAUGACUUGGAAAGUAAUUUCUCCUCAAAUUCGUUCCGUGAACCAAACGGAACCUGCAUAAUAGAAGUUCCAAAAAAACACGUGAUGAUUGGAUCAUGCAUAUGUAAGUUCCCGAGUGAUGAUUGGAACAAGUUCCUAAUGAUAAAGACUCGAAACAAGAAUAGUUUAAACUUUCUUCUUUGUUUGGCUUGAUAUAAGACGAAUGCACCAAACAAACCGACUAAUUGCUGGCACAAUAUAAAUUGGGGCUACAAUUACCUAAUAAUUAGGUACUAAGGGCUACAAUUACCUAAUAAUAUCAACUUUCAUUAUACAGAUUUGAGAAACAAAAAGUUCAACUUUGAUGACAAGCGAUAUUAAAGGAGGGCGUAAUCAAACUUAGGAUCUUGAGUGUAGAAAUAAAUACUUUUAACAACUUGAGCUACAAGCCUUUUGUAAUAUUAAUGAUAUUUUAAUUAUACGUUUGAAUAGUUCGCUUCCUUCUCUUUUAUUUUCAUUUGUUUAUAUUUAACUCUAAUUUUAUUUAUAUUUUUGGUCAAGGUAAAAAGACUUUGAAUCUCUCUCCAAUGAUUUUCACAGCCGAAACUCCUUUAGUUUCCACAAAUAUUUUUUAAUAUUUCAUGCAUUUGUAAGUUUCCGACUCGGAUGGUUCAUGUAACCAAGAAGUUUAAACUUGUUUUUGCUUGUUCCGCCGACGAAAGCGCAACAAAAGGACAAACUACAACCAAUACUUCUAGUAUCACCAGUUCUCAUUGAAUUUGUUGCCGUGAAUGUUUAGGAUUCUGCCCAAACUAGUAUUUGCGUUUCUGAAUUGUUUGAAAACACAUAUGAAAUUAUGAUUUCUCCUCCCCAGAAGACAAAUUGACGAAGAAGUAUCAUGAUUUUGAUGACACAAAUUAGAAUCCAGGGUUUUCGAAGUGCCUAAUGGACAACUAUUAAUUUAGAAAUAUAUAUAUUUUUUUCGCAAUGCAGAAACACAUAAAUCCCAAGUUUGAAUUCAUCCUAUUUUUGUUUUUGUUUUUUCCUUUUUUAACCCAGAAGAAAAAUUGAGUGCCACUCUGCUAUGUAGAAUGCAAGUUUUAGUUUAGAUUUUUUUUUCUUUUUAGUCUCUUAUUCUACAUUUAGAUCUCAUAUAUUUACUCGCAUUUUAUUAAAUCUAAGUCAUUCAAACAAUCUGACCACUUAACAAAUUACAAGUACUCAAACUUAAAAUCAGAUUGGAUGGACAUGAGGCUUACACUGAUGAUUCUACACGUGCUGAGAAUAGUCCUUUUAUUUCUUUAUUAUUUUCUUGGUCGGGACUCGAGAGACAGGUGUAGUGUAGCGAUGGAGACGAGGCCCGCAAGACAUAAAAGUCUGAAGAAGAGAAGCGUGAAAGCUUCAUUUAGACAGUUAAGUGCAUACGUAACGUAAAGAUUCAAAGACUAUGUCCCUCUCCAAACAGGGAAAGAUCUGAGUUGAAAGCAACAAACUACAGUCACAAUAGGAAAGCAUCUACAACGUAAAGAAAAUAAGUUUACCAGAAGCAUCGGAAAGAUCUAGAGUCUGAAGAAGAGAUACUGAAGUAAUUGUUCAUCGACUGAGCUUAAAUGAAAUAUUAACUCUUUGUUGUGCCAUAAGCACAAGAUCUUAAGAAAAAAAUUCAAGAUAAACCAUAUAAUAUUUUCUAACCCACAAAAUAAUAUAGAAAAUAAAUGCAAGAACAAGAGAAUAGCAAGACACAACGAGGCUGCUUACAAUCAGUGUAAAUGAGCAAACAAAUUCACCAUCAACAAAUUAGCAUGCUUAUGAAGUGUUUUGCAACCUCACAAACCAAGGCGCCAUAUACACCAAAUGACUCUCACUGAAAAACUAAACAAAGAAACACACUCACACUAAUGAAAGCAACGUUACAAGGUAGGAGAUUGAAUAUUACAUUUACAAUACACUCAUAAGUUACAAAAACUAAUUACAAAUAUUUAGCGCAUAGGUUACAUAGAACUGAAAGGGUGGAAUGAUAAGAGCUAUGGUGGUCAUCCACCAACUCAUGCAUUUACAACACCGCCUCUUGAAUGUCCACCAUACAAUACAAUGAUAUAGUUGCGUCAUUAAACACUUUGCUUGAAAAACUAUAUGGGACAAAACUUAGGCUACGGGAAAAAGAGUGCAACACAAAUAAUAUUGAUAUCACAUUUGUCUCUCCUACGGAAUGAGCUUUGGUGAUGUUUGUAUAAAAAUUGCGUACAAACCAUUAUUGGAAGAUUGGGCUAGAGUGGGCUUUACCCUAGUGUUGACUUUGGAAAGAGACAAAUUAGGCUUAGUUGUGUAAAUUCAAUCCAAAAAAAAAUUAAAUAAUAGCCCACAUCUACAGCCAAAUACUUUAAUACUUUAAUUACUAAAGUUUUUUUUUCUUUCUCUCUCUUCUUUGGUUUAUUCAGCUUUUGAUUUGGCUCAAAUAAUGUUUAUAUCUCUCUUUGAUUUUGUUUUUUCAAAUUUAUUGAUGUUGCUUCUUUUGAAAAUUUUGAAAUAUGGACCCUCCCUAACUAAACCACUCCAUUGAGCAAAAGCCCUUGAGCUUCAAAUUUAUCUUCGUCUGAGCCUCUGAAUUUUGGUUUUUUUUAGGUUUUUUUUGUUUGUUGUAGGUUUCUUUGUUCACAUAUCUCUCUAAAAAUAGUAUUUUUCUUAAUGAAUUCUGAAAAUAGUUUUUAAUUUGAAGGAAAUAUACGGAAUUAGUAAAAAAGUAUACCACUUUCAUUAAUCUGAAGGAAAUAUUGCUUUAUAUAUAUUUGUUUAAAAAUAGGGCUUAUAAUUGAUCUCAAAAAAAAAAAAAAAACAAAUAGCCCACCCCUGUAAAUAUUCCUUAGUCCGCCAUUGCAUGGCAUAAUAUUUGGUAUGCUAUGCUAGCAUCUCAUAAGCUCUUCAAGAGACCUGAAUUUUAUGAUAACUUCUUAAAAAAUUUGAAUACAUUUCAACGAUAUUAAACUUGAAUUUGAACUCAUAAUUCAAUCAAAGUACUCAUUGAGGCAAUUUAGAUCAUUUUCAUUUUAAAAAAAUUGGGUGCACACAUUGAGCUUCAUGCUCUUUACCUUCUUAGAGAUUUUAUUUGAGGAAUUUAUAUUGCAUCACAUAUUACAUCUCUUAGGAUUUGUUCUUAUUAUGUAUUCUUUAAGAGAUCUAUUCUUGCAAUAUGCUUCAAACACUUCAUAAUCUUUAUGAAUUUUUCAUGUAGAUUUAAGGUCUCCAUGAAUAUUGAGAUUGAAACAAGGAGUAAAAGAGUUAAAAGUUUAAGAAAUUUUUUCCCUGAUUAUUUUGUAAUUAUAAUGUUGGUGAAAAUCCAAUUUCCUUUCUAGAAUUUGUGAAAUUUGUUAUUUGGCUAAGCUAAAAGUAUAAUUUUGACAAUAAAAAGCAUAUGAAAGUUUCUCUUUGGUUGGCUUCUUGGCUAGCUCUAGGAACGGACAGUGUGGCCAUGAGAUAACCAUGGAAGUAUAAUAAGAAUGCUUGGAUGCUGUGAACAAUCCAUUUUCUGACUCUUUUUCUUGAGGUGGUUGUUUUCUUAUGGCCCAUCAGAGUUUAUGGUCGACAGAUAAGCUUCAAACACAUGCAUUGGUCGUGUCAGUUGCGAUAAACUCUUCCCAACAAUCAACAAUUUCUAAGGUAAUAUCAUCAUUCAAUCAUGUGCUGAAUUUAGAAUUGUUUUCAAAUCAAGGAUUUGUUUUGGAACUCAGAUUUUAAAACAAUUAAAAUUUAAUUGGGAAGACUUUUUGUUUAAAGGAAGUUCGUUUCAAUUCAAAAAAUAAUUUUUCAGUUUUUCAACUCAAAAGUCUUCUCAGUUUUCUUAUUUUUCUUAUUGGCGAGUUUCUUGGUUAACUCUAGGAAGGGAGAUAUGUGGCCAUGAGCUAACCAUGGAAGCAUAAGAACGCUGACCAUGCUUGGAUUUUGAGAAGACUUCCUCUUUUUUUUUUCCCUGACUCUUCUUCUUGAGGCGGUGGUUGGCUUAUGGCCUCAUAAUAGUUUGGUGUUUUUGGAGAUCAUAUGGUGAUGAUCUGAUGGAGAUGAGUCAUAGUUUGUGCUAGUGCAUACGUAAUUCCAAUUUCCUGAUUCAGAUGGGAUAAACUCUUCCAACAAAUUAAGACUCUUAUCAUGCAUACACAUAAGAAGUGGAAAUUUGCUUCUGUCUUAGUUUGGCCUUGAUAUAGGACAGCUCAUAGGAAAGCAUCCAAAACAAUAUUCUUUUUAUUUUUUUUAUUUGAAUACAAGCGAUAUUAGGAGUGUGGGGAUUUGAACACAUGAUUUAGGGUACAGGGUAAUGCUCUUAACUAUAUGAGUUACAAGUCCCUUGCAAACAGUCUGAAAUACUAAAAAUAAAAAAUAGAUGCUCAUCCAUAUGCACUGUCAUGCCCCAACCCUUGGAUUUACAAAACCUUGUGUUAAGACGUGAUUCACACCUUAAUUAUAGAAUUUAAUAAAAACUAUAACUAAAAUGUGAAGAAAACAUUUAAAUAAAUAAAAUAAAUAUUUCACAUAGAAUAUUCAGUGGAAAUGACAACAUGUGAAAUCUUAAAAAUUUUACAUUAUCUUACAAGUUGGCGUGACUUGUGGAUAUUGACUUACUUUCCUUACACACCAAGAAUUCCUAUUAUAAUUGUAAUUGAUUUACUUUAAUUCAUGAUUUCCUACUGUAAAUAGAUUUAAGAAUUUAUUAUUUACUUGCCCAUUCAGGUUUCGUUGUAUUAUAAAUAUGACCUCCUACAAGGAGAAGAACAUACAGAAAAUUCCCACAAACAAAUAUUCUCUCAUAGUUUUCAUAUUUUAGCAUGGUAUCAGAGCGGCAAUCUUGGAAUUGCUGACUCUAGUUUCAAACCCCCGCCGCCGCUAUGGGGGUUGAUGAUUUUUUCAACCAUCAUGGAGGUAGCACCAUCGACUCCUUCUCUCAUUCUCAACUAACCAUCGUUGAGUUGAGUGCCCAGAUGGCUCCGCUCCUACAGAUGCAGACUUUGACCCCAAACCCGAUCCAGAAUCAGGAUCUUCUUUCGACAACCACGACCCCGAUCUCGACUAUGACAACGACGACCCCGACCCCUACUCUGAAGAUGACCCCGACCCCCACUCCGAUGACCCCAACCCCGAAUUUGUCUCUGAUUCAGAACCCGAUCCCGAUUUCGACUCCGACUCCGGCCUCGACUCAGGCUCAGAUUUCGAUCCAAAUUCCUACUCAACUUAUAUCCUAUGCAUCUUCCGCUGCACAGAUUAUGACUUCUAGACUAACGACCCCGACAUAUGGACCAGAUUGCACAUAUUGUGGUGAUCCGAGACACACUUGUGAGACUUGUUUUAAAUCGCAUGGCUACCCCGAUUGGUGGGCUAUUCUUACAGAUCAAGGACAAUGCACCAGUAAUGGUACUGGUUAUGGAUUCCAUACUUCCGAUAAGAUUGAUUCCAGGAGCUGGAUAAUUGAUUCUGGUGCAACUGAUCAUAUGACGUUUGAUCCUGAUGAUUUUCUGAAUACUACACAACCUCGACGAACUUGUAUUGCAAAUGCCAAUGGUGUUACUUAUCCUGUGACAGGGGCUGGCACUGUUGCACUCUCAUCCUCUCUCACACUGUCUAAUACUUUACUUGUUCCAUUUUUAUCCACUAAAUUGUUGUUAGUUAGUCAGCUUACUAAACAAUUGAAGUGUUGUGUACUCAUUUACCUGAGUUUUUGUUUGCUUCAGGAUAUUCACACUAAGGAGAUUCUUGGUCGUGGUACUAAGAGAGGGGGGCUAUAUUAUGUCGAUGACUUCAGUUCCGGCGUGCCUAACAGUGUGACACAUCCCUUUGAUAGCAAACAAAAGCAAAUUUGGUUGUGGCACCUUCGAUUGGGACAUCCGUCUUUCAGUUAUAUGAAGCAUCUUAUACCAGAUUUAUUCUUAGGUUUCAAGGACUCCGACUUCACAUGUGAUACUUGUAUUUUGGCUAACAGUCACCGUGUGCCCUACCUGUUGAGUACGAACAAGUGUACUUGUAAGAUCCCACAUCAACCAACGGAGAGGGGGUGAUGUGCCUUAUAUAUGCACACCUGCAUCCAUCUAGCACGAGGCCUUUUGGGAGCUCACUGGCUUCGGAGUCGUAGGAACUCCGAAGUUAAGCGAGUUGGGGGCUAGAGCAAUCCCAGGAUGGGUGAUCCACUGGGAAGUUGCUCGUGAGCUCCUAGAAACAAAACCGUGAGGGCAGAGAGAGGGGCCCAAAGCGGACAAUAUCGUGCUACGGCGGAGUUGAUCCCGAGAUGUGACAAUUUGGUAUCAGAGCCACUCUGCCGUGUGGUGCGAAUGUGCCGACGAGGACUUCGGGCCCUUAAGGGGGGUGGAUUGUAAGAUCCCACAUCAACCAACGGAGAGGGGGUGAUGUGCCUUAUAUAUGCACACCUGCAUCCAUCUAGCAUGAGACCUUUUGGGAGCUCACUGGCUUCGGAGUUGUAGGAACUCCGACGUUAAGCGAGUUGGGGGCUAGAGCAAUCCCAGGAUGGGUGACCCACUGGGAAGUUGCUCGUGAGUUCCCAGAAACAAAACCGUGAGGGCCAGAGAGGGGGGCCCAAAGCUGAUAAUAUCGUGCUACGGCGGAGCCGAUCCCGGGAUGUGACAAUUGUACUACUCCAUUUACGUUAAUUCACUCUGAUGUCUUGGGACCUUCGCCUAUCACUGCUCCUUCUGGUGUUCGAUGGUUUGUCACAUUCAUCGAUGAUUGUAUACAGAUGACAUGGCUUUAUUUGCUGAAGAAUAAAAACGAAGUGUUUUCCCGUUUUCAGUCCUUCCACAAACAGAUGAAAACUCAGUUUAAUGCUCAAAUCCAGAUUCUUCGCUCAGACAAUGGUGGAGAAUUUGUCAAUCAUGACUUUCAGACUUACUUCCAACAACAUGGAAUUAUCCAUGAGACGACUUGUCCUCAGACACCACAACAAAAUUGUGUUGUUGAACGAAAGAAUUGACAUCUUCUUGAAACCGCCCAAGCACUUCUGAUUGGCGCUCAUGUUCCUCGCUAUCACUGGGAUGAUGCUAUUGUCACCGCAGUUCACCUGAUCAACCGCAUGCCUUCUGGUGUAUUGACCUUUAAAACUCCCUUACAGGUGCUUGCGCAACACAGACCUCUGCUCUCUGUUUUGGUACUCACACCCCGAAUCUUUGGAUGUGUGGCUUUCGUUCAUCUCCACAAAAAUCAACGUAGCAAACUUGAUCCCUGUGCGCUUCGUUGUGUUUUUAUAGGUUAUGCCACUCAUCAGAAAGGCUACCGUUGUUAUCACCCUCCUACCCAACGAACCUAUGUCACUUUGGAUGUGACCUUUCUGGAAUCUGAGUUGUUCUUCCAUGACCCAUCAUCCAAUUCUACGCAUCAGGGGGGGAUACGAAGUGAAGAGCAGAAUUGAAGCAACUUGGGAAAUAAAGAAAUUUUCCUCUGUACAGAAAUGAUUAAUCAUCCUGAGUCUGGAGCACGAGAUUACUCUCUGUCGAAAAGCAACCAAUCGCCCAUUCAUAGCGAUCAAUUGCCUCACCUACCUGAUCCAUGUGAAGAUAUUUUUGAUCCGAGUCUCACACCUACAGACAAUACAGAACAACAAGAUGAAGACUCCCCCUCUAACUCAACAGUACCAACAGACCAAUCUCCUGAGAAUAUCCUUGAGGUAACUACUCCUACUAGAUUUGUGCAUUUAAAUGAUUAAACUAUUGGAUAUCAAUUACCUUUCAGGGAAAAUCGUGGGAAGCCAUCAAACCGUUAUGCACCUGAUAUUGGCAAGACAUCCAAGUAUCCAAUUGCAAAUCAUGUAUCCACUGAGAAGCUGUCUGAACAACUCAAGGCUUUUGUGCAUCAGUUGUCUGCGAUCCAUAUUCCAACCAAGGUCUCUGAAGCAUUAAAAUAUCCUAAGUGGGUCCAAGCUAUAAAAGAGGAGAUGAAAGCUCUUGAGAAAAAUCAGACUUGGACAUUAGAGACUAUACCUCGAGGAAAAAAGACUAUCAGAUGUAGAUGGGUGUUUACUAUAAAACACAAUGUAGAUGGAUCUAUCGAGCAAUACAAGGCAAGACUUGUGGAAAAAGGGUACACACAGACAUAUGGUAUAGACUAUGAAGAAACCUUUGCUCCAGUUGCAAAGUCAAACACCAUCAGAGUCUUAUUGUCCCUUGCAGCUAAUUUGGAUUGGCCACUACACCAGUUUGAUGUAAAGAAUGCUUUUCUACAUGGCGUACUCACGGAGGAGGUGUACAUUUACAUUCCUCCUGGAUAUAAUACUACUUAGACUGGAACAGUUUGCAGGUUACGAAAAGCAUUGUAUGGAUUGAAACAGUCACCACGUGCAUGGUUUGGACAGUUCACCAUGGCAAUGAAGAACAAUGGUUCAAACAGUGCAACUCAGAUCAUACUCUACUCUUGAAACAUCGAAAAGGGAAGGUAACAACAUUAAUAAUCUAUGUUGAUGAUAUGAUUAUUACUGGGAAUGAUAAACAGGAAAUAUCACAGCUACAAGACUAUCUGGCUACGGAGUUUGAGAUGAUGGAUCUAGGUGGACUCAAGUAUUUCUUGGGAAUUGAGGUGGCUCGAUCCCAGCAAGGCAUAUUUCUCUCUCAAAGGAAAUAUGUCUUGGACUUGUUGACAGACACAUGAAUGCUAGAUUGUAAACCUGCGAACACUCAUAUUGUUCAGAAUCAUCAUCUUGGAGAAUAUCAUGAUCAAGUUCCAACUAACAAAGAAAGAUACCAAAGGUUAGUAGGAAGAUUGAUCUAUUUGUCACAUACUUGACCAAACAUUACUUAUGCAAUGAGCGUUGUCAGUCAAUUUAUGCACUCUCCAAGUGAAGACCACACGAAUGCAGUUCUUCGGAUACUUAGAUAUUUGAAGUCUGCACCUGAAAAAGGACUUAUUUUCUGAAAGCAUGGUCAUAUAAAUAUUGAUGGUUAUUCAGAUGUAAUGUAACAGAUAGAAAAUCCACAUCCGGUUACUUAACAUUCAUGGGAGGUAAUUUGGUGACAUGGAGGAGCAAGAAACAGAAUGUAGUAGCUUUAUCCAGUGCAGAAGCCGAGUUCAGAGGCAUGACUAAAGGAAUUUGUGAACUUCUUUGGUUAAGAAAGUUGCUUACUGAACUUGGGUAUAAACCUACAUCCACAAUGAUUCUCUUUUGUGACAACAAGGCUGUUAUAGCCAUUGCACAGAAUCCGGUUCAGCAUGAUCGUACUAAACAUGUUGAGGAGGAUCGACACUUCAUCAAACAGAAGCUUGAGGCUAAAAUGUUUCAGUUUUCUUUUGUGAAAUCCGAGGAUCAAUUGGCGGAUAUUUUGACAAAGGUGAUUUCCAGUAAAACAUUCCACAAUUCACUGGAUCAGUUAGGCAUUGGCGAUAUCUAUGCACCAACGUGAGGGGAAGUGUUGGCGUGACUUGUGGAUAUUGACUUACUUUCCUUACACACCAAGAAUUCCUAUUAUAAUUGUAAUUGAUUUACUUUAAUUCCUGAUUUCCUAUUGUAAAUAGAUUUAGGAAUUUAUUAUUUACUUGCCCAUUCAGGUUUCGUUGUAUUAUAAAUAUGACCUCCUACAAGGAGAAUAACAUACAGAAAAUUCCCACAAACAAAUAUUCUCUUAUAGUUUUCAUAUUUUAGCAAGAACUACUCGAGAGUUUACUAAAAGAGUAGUUCAGUAUUCAUCCACAAGCUAUAUACACAAUACACUCUAUAGAUAUGCCAAAAUCAUCGCAAGCUCUAGAUUUUAGGUUCGAUACCUGCAAAAUCUAUUAGAAGGGUGAGUGAAACCACAGUUUAGUAGGGACAUAAACCUUUUCACGGUAAACUGAUAUAAUUAAAUUAAGUGAAAAAUAAUCACACAGCCAAAUAUCACAUUAUUAAUAACAAUGCAUGAAUGCUCUUCAUUUAACCCGUUAAUUCAUAUAAUUAGACAAGCUUCACGACCCAUACCAUGCUUAUACCACUUAGUCCCGAAUGCCAAUUUAUAUGAAUUAACGCCCAUUUCAAUCAUCCCAUAAUUCCCAUUUUGUUAGUCAUCUUGUCUAACUCCCUGUUGCCAGUCCUGAAUCACCAAAAAAAAAAAACCAUGUGCACUAUGGGAUCCCUGAGUACUAGUACCUGGCAAGAGUUAGACUCAACUACACAAAAGAUCAUUUCUAUUACCCUCUUAUCCACCAUUAUUUUCUCAACUUCAGAAUUCUAGCCAAAUUCCAUGACAUGAUAUAAUUAAAAUUAUGCCUUCACAACAAUGUGCCCAUUUAAAACAUCACUAAUGCACAUAUAAUUAUGCCCACAUUGUUCAAAUAGUUAAGAGUACGUAAAUACCCAAUACAUGGAACGUCAAUCAAACAGUACCACGCAUAAUAUAAUGCUCAAGAAAUUUAAUUAAAUCAAUCUCUGUAAAAGGCCCCUAAGAAACCCCUGCCUUGAUACUAAAGCUUUUGCUAGACCUAUAAGGUGUUUUCCAAUUUUCCACCGCAUUCACAAACUCUGUCUUCUACUUUUUUUCUUACUUCUCUCUACCACUAUUUCUUUCUCGUUUUCUUUGUUUUCACUUGUUGUGCAACUUAAUGUCCUAUAUAUAUACAAGGAACAAGUCGGCAGUAAGUGAUUUCCUAUUGGAUGGUGUAUUCGGUUGUUAUAAACUUACUAGUAAUAGUUAUCAAUGUAGUUGCAGAUGAGGAAGAAUGUUUUUGUGACUCUUCCAAUCCCUCUAAUCCUAUUUCUUAUCUUCUUGGUGAGUUGAUAGCCUCGAUACUUAACAGAUUUUAUACUUUGACACGUAUUAACAAGAACUAUUUUAAAAACAUAUACAUAUAUAUAUAUAUAAUAGAAUAUGUAUAUAUGUAAUACACAUAUUUAUAUAUAAUAAGAAUAAUAUAUAUGUAAUAAGAUAUAAAUAUUUAUUAGAACAGUAUAUAAAAUAAUAUAUAUCAUUCUUAUUAUAACAAUAAUUUUAAUUUUCCCAAAAUAAUAUAUAUUUAAAAAUAUGUGGUUUCACAUGCAUGUCCUUUUUGCUAUAGACACUAUUACAAAAAUCGAAAUAGACAACGGAAAACUACCGUCGUCUGGAAAGUUUUCAAACAGUCGUGAAAUCGACUGUCGUCUCUUUUACAUAAAACAACGACGGCUAUUAACCAACGUCGUUAAUACAUUCCACGUAAAAAACUAUUAUAAACCGACGUGUAAUUACUAUAUAUAUAGCCUAAAAUAAAAUCUUCAACAACCUUAGACGACGGUUUUAUUAAAACUGACACGUCUAAAGAGUGUUACAUGUCAAGAUCAAAACAAGAACCGACGUACAGAUAAUUAUCCACGUCCUAAUUGAAGUAAAAUAGACUUGGAUAACCUAGAAACCGUCGUGGUUAACAUAUACUACGUUAAAUUAACAAAGGCACUUACGUCUAAAAAGUAAAAGACAACACGCGCACAAAGCAACAGACGUUUAAAGCUUAGUACAUGUCAAUAGCCGCUCAAUAACCGCAGUAAAAUGAAUUAACCACGUCCCACAUAUGGCAGAACUGUUGCUUAUGUGAUUAUCCACGUCGCGGAGUAGUAGAACAAAGACGUUGUAACCAUAUUCCACGUCUGUUUCUUGUGAGAAUUGUCGUUUAAAUUAUACAAAGAAGCCCCUUUGACAGAGUUAGACGUUGCUCUUGCUGUAGAACCGACUUCUAACAGGUUUAAAAUGACACAAUAUUACUUAAUACUGCCGUAACAAAUCAUAUCCACGACUGCUGUUGUCAAAGACUGACGUUACAAAAAAUAUUGAAGGUGUUGACAAAAAAGAACCGACAUGGAUUAUGCAUUCAACGUCGUGUGGUCUAAAAAUAAAGGACGUGGUUAAUUUUUUCUCUACGUCAAGUGGAUCCAAUUGCCUGAUGUUGUAAUUCUUUACCAUGUUGGUUUUUAAUACAUGAUGAUGUGGUUGUCCUUUUAAAAGUCGCUUGUUUUACCCUCCUUGACGUGUGUAUGAUAUGAGACGUCAAUUGUUUUAGACUAGCUGACGUGCAGAAAAUCUGUCACGACAAUUAAUGCAACUGAAUUGCCUCUAUUUCCCCCAGACGACGGUAGGUUUUAAGUGUGGAAGUAGUGUUUUACAAAAUCGUAAGUUGGAGUAAUCUACCAUCGUGUUAUUCGAGAAUAUACCACGAUCUUUGUUUUGUACUCGGUCGCUGAUGUUUAUACUACUUAAUAAACUGACAUGUUUUCAGUUUCAGACGGCGGCUUUUGUUUCUUUAUGGUCUUUUGCAUUUUUUUUCCAUGACAUUUUUGAAAGCCUAAUGUUGGUUUUAUUUUAGAAAUCGAUUUUUCCCCUUUUUUUACUGGACCGUCGUACUUUACACAUUUAAUCAAUUUUUUUCAAUUUUUGAUUCAUCGUGCCCAAAGCCUACAUAACGAAAAUGUGAUCAGAAUUAAAAUGAUGUACAAAGGUAUUAAUUAAUGUCAUACAAUUAACUGAAUAACUAAUGUCAUACACUACAACAAUCAAUCAAUCCAUAUAUCUUCACACCCAUCUUUAAUAUUUUCACUCCCAAACUCACCCACUAGGUCAUCAUAUGUGUCAACAUUUGGUAUCCCUCUAGUAAAUGUCUCACACUCAAUUCUAAUAUCACCUAGCACAUCAUCACCAAUAACAUUAUUAUAUUCUCUAUUAUGCAUUGAUAACACUACCGACCAACCACGAUGCAUUGGGUCGUCAGCAUAAAAUACUUGUUUUGGUCAUUCCUAUGUCCAAUUUUACUCAAAUCUACAAAGGUGAAUCCAAGUUCAUCGACAACAAGGCCCAAAGUGUUAUCUAUCCAAUCACACCUCAAGACAAGGAUUCUAAACUUUUGGUAGUCAAGGUCCCAAAUUUCUUGAAUAACACCAUAAAAACCCAUAUUGGAGACAAUAGAGUUUUUAUCCUUAGCACUAGCAACUUGCAUAGUAUGUGCAAGUAAAUAAACUCCACUAUUUUGGACAGUUCGCAUAUCAUCUUGUGCCUUGGUGUUAAAUUUAACACCAUUAAUAAGAUAGCUCCUAUAUGAUGGCAUUGCCAUGCUUGGACUAGCUGCUAGCCACCUCAAAUUUUAUGAUACGCCAUUAUGCUCUUCCCCAUUAAGUUCACUUUGAACUUGCAAAUUAAUCGUAUAUAUCCUAAUUCGAUCUAACAUAUAAAAAGGAAGAAAAUUAAAAGUUGAAUAUGUCAUUCAAUAACAUAUAUACUUGAAAGUGUAGCCAUUGAAUGAAAGUGCUAUUGUGCUUAUCUUGCAGCCACUUUGUUCUCUUUCUAAAUAUUGGAUAAGUGGUCUUGAUGUGGAUCAUAUGUUCCAUACAUUGACACGAAAAAAUCAAGCAUUACGGUCCCUUGUAUAUAAGAUAACAUAAGGAAUAAUAAUAUUUAAAAUGGCUCUAUAUGAAAAAUGGAACUCAUGCGUACUCGAUAUAAGGUAGGACUUCCUCAGUAUUCUCCAAGACAUAUAGAUGUGUCUGGUUCAAAAAACCCGAUCACCUAAGCUUACUGUGCAACCAGAUAAUGGCUUUGAAACUCCCAUCUUCUAGCUUGAAGGCACUCCAACUGUACUAACAUCAGAUAAAUGCUCGGUGCAAAACUCUACAACUUCUUCAGCUAUAUACCGCUCAAUAAUGCAACAUCCGGGACGAGUACGGUUCUGAACAAACCUAUUUAGCACUUUCAUAUGUCUUUCAAAUGGAUACAUCCAUCUAAAAUAUACUGGCCCAUGUAGACGAACUUCUCUGACAAGAUGUACUACUAGAUGAACCAUGAUAUCAAAGAAUGAAGGGGGAAAGUACUUCUCAAGCAAACGCAACGUAACUACUACAUCUUCUUCCAAAUUAUCUAGCUUGGAAACAUCUACUGUCUUUGCACAUAUAGCAUUGAAGAAGAAGCACAAUCGAGUUAUUGCAUACCUUGCAGGCUUCUCCAAACAGAACGAAUUGCCACAGGGAGCAAUUGUUGCAUCAAGGCAUGAAAAUUAUGAGAUUUAAGGCCAAGAAGUCUUGAAUAUUUUUAAGAUACAAGAUUUUUUUAUAUUUGAACAAUAACCUUCAGGGACUUUCAUACCAUAGAAAGAAUUGCAAACCGCUCUCUUAUCUGCUCUUGACAAAUUCUAGGGCCUUGGAGGCAAGCGAGUACGUCUUUCUCAAUACUCGGGUUGCAAAUCAUUUUUGACCCCCAUGUUCAAUAAAUCUAACCGAACAGCAAUCUCAUCUUUAUUUUUUCUAGGGAUCUCCAGCAAUGUACCAAUGAUACUAUCGCAAACAUUCUUCUCAAUAUGCAUAACAUCUUGGACAUGCCUCAUAGGAAGGUAUUUCAAAUACUCGAGAUCAAAGAAUUUUGAUUUCUUAUUCCAACAAACUCUGUCACCAUCAUUCUCAAAAACACUUCCCCCAUUUUUCGAGCCCCAUAUGUAAUUAAUAUCUUCAACCAUGUCCUAUUCAAGUUAAUGGUUCGGGAGGCGUGCCAUAUUCAAGUUUUCCAUUGAAAGCUGCACGCUACCUCCGACAUGGAUGAUUGAUUGGUAACCAUUUUUUAUGACCAAUGUAACAAAUUUUGGGGCCAUUUUCAACCUGUGACUAGGUGUAUCAUCGCCGCAUAUUGGACAAGCUUUAUAUCCUUUAACGACACUGUAACACCCCGACUCUAAAUUAAUCCCUUAUUUAAUUAUUUAAAGAAAAUUACAAAUUUACCCUUAAGAUAGGGGUAUUUUGGUCAUUUUCUUACCCGAAGAGAGUUUGGGGCAGUGACUAGUAUUUUUGGAUAGGUCGUACUGAGACGAGUUCAUAGACACGUAGUGGGCUCGAAUCGAAGUUGUAACGAGAGAGAUAUGGUCAAAAGAAACCCAAUUGCACAAUCAUAAUUAUUUCGAAAUGAGAUUUUUAUAAAAAUCAGAUUUUUUUUUCUCUCUCUCUCUCUCUCCUCGUCGGUCUCUCUCCCUCUCCUCGAAACUCCGGCCAUCGGCCACGGCUGUGGACGGGGCCGGUACCAAAAUGACCGAGGCGUUGUCCUCCUCUAAUCCCAGCUAGGUCCCGCCGUCAGCCGCCAUGGUUUCGCCGGAAAAUGGAGAAGAAGCGGCCGGCGUCGUCCGAAGUUCUCCGCCGUUGAUCUCCCUCUUCCGGUCACCGAUUCCGACGAGUGAGGUAUGGUUUCUCACCUACUUUUCAUGCUCUAGCUGCCUGCUGGGUAUGAUUGGAUUGAUUUUUAGCGUAGGCAAUUCGAUUUUCGCAUUGAAAUUCGGCUAAUUUUGGAAUCACGAUUCCGGCUAGUUCUGGUCAGUUUUUGGGGUAGAUCCAAGAACAAAAGUGGCUCCAAAUAGGGUGUUAUACCUAGGGUAGGAGUUUGGAGCCAUGGUUUUGAGAUUUUCCGGCGAUACGUAAUCGCUUUAGACACCCAACGCUGCCCGCACGUGUGGCAGUGCGUGGGCGAGGGUAGUGAAAUAGCACUAUGUCUCGAUGAGAUCCUUAGGUUGUCACGAGUGCGUAGGAUUUCGCGGAUCUCAAUUCGGACGUCGUUUGACUAUCGAACGGAUUUUCGUAUAUUGCGCGUCAUCCGGGUUCGAUAGGUUGGGACCGUUGGAUGGUCUCGAAUAAAAUAUAUGUUAAUCUAGGUAUUUCUAGGAUCAUGUAGGAAUUCACGGAUUAUAAAUCGGAGCCCCGGAUAUUCCGAAUAAAUAAUUUAAAGUUUAUGUUUUAUAAUAACCGUCACAUCGUGCGAUCGUGAGCGAUCCGACCGGCCGAUCUGGACCAAACUUACAGAACGAGUGUCCUAUACCUUGAAGAACCCAUAGGAAUUUUCAGAUCGAAAUUUGGAGGUCGUGGGCCCCGUGGGCCCAUUUGACUAGGGGUAGGGUAGUUUGACCCUUAGUUGACCGUGAGUCUCCCGGAGUAAUCUCACCUUUCCAGGGGGAUUAUCGGGUGCUAGACUGUUGUUGAGGUUUACACGAUAUUAGUAGUAAAUUAUAUAUUUAUAUACAUUUGUAAAGGUAAAAAAUAAGUCCAGAAUGUCAGUUUGAAGUGCUUUACGCACUACCUUAGGUACCUCCCCGGAUUUUAGUUACACUACAAGUACCACCCUAUGAAAGUUAGGUCCCACGUGGCGUAGGUUAUCCGGCGUGCGGACAGGCCCUAUACGUGGCAUUGGUAGUAUCGGUGUAUGGGGAGAUUACGUGAUAAUAUGUUGAGGUCACACGUGGCGUAGGUUAUCCGGCGUGUUGACAGACCCCAUACGUGGCGUUGGUUGUACCGGCGUAUGAGGAGAUAUUGUGAUAUGAUAUUCAGGUCUCGCGUGGCGUAGGUUAUCCAGCGUUGAGACAGACCCCAUACGUGGCGUUGGUUCUACCGGCGUAUAAGGAGUUUAUGUGAUAUUAUGUUGAAGUCGCGCGUGGCGUAGGUUAUCCGGUGUGUCGACAGACCCCAUACGUGGUGUUGGUUGUACCGGCGUAUGGGGAGAUAUGUGAUAUGAUGUGCAGGUCUCGCGUGGCGUAGGUUAUCCGGCGUUGAGACAGACCCCAUAUGUGGCGUUAGUUGUACCGGCGUAUGGGAAGAUAUUGUGAUAUGAUAUUCAGGUCUCGGGUGGCGUAGGUUAUCCGGCGUGUUGACAGGCCCCAUACGUGGCGUUGGUAGUACCGGUAUAUGGGGAGAUUAUGUGAAAUACAGAGAAAUGAAAUAAGGUAUUGCCUAUGUGUGGAAUUGGGUUUUAAGGAAGAACUACGUGUGGCUUGAUCCCUCAGGGAGGGUACGUAGGCAGCCUAAGGUUAUUAGGUGUAGCCGCGGACAUAGACGUGAUUGUGUUAGGAGGUUAAAACCUCGUAUGUUGAAAUUGAGAAAAUUAGAUGAUGUAUGUUGAAAUUUAGUAGUCGUAAUUUAUAUUUAAAUUUAUCGUUUGCCUUGUUUAAGGCAUGAAUUGAUUUGCUAGCAUGCUUGGUAGUUGAGAAUUAUAGAAAGGCCGAAGGCCGUUUAUGUGAAUUGCAUGGAAUUAUAUUGUGCAUGCUGCCAGUUGUAGUUAUUAAAUGUGUUUUUAUGCAGGUUGAAAUUUUGGGAAAUGUCCAAUUUACAGGGGAGACUCUGCCGAAAUUUCGGCAGAAAGUCUCGGUCUUUAGUAAGUGGGCCUGACAUCGAGGUGAUGUCGGGGAAUCCACAGGAUCCGCCUCGAUUUUUGGAAAAAUCGGGGCGGUUCCUUUCAGACACAACCAGAUAAGUUCUCAUAGGCAGAAAAAUCAUUAAUUGUUCACAGUAAUACACCUAUGAGUGUAAAGUAAUCUCCUAUGUGUGCAUCAUACACUCCUUUAAUCCCAUCCCACAAAGAUUUUAAAUCAUCAAUCAGAGGCUCUAAGUAGACAUCUAUAUCAUUUCCAUUCUAUUUAGGACCAGAAAUCAAUAAGGUCAAUAUCAUGAACUUCCAUUUCAUGCAUAGCCAUGGUGGGAGAUUAUAUGUAACUAAGAUAACCAACAAUUGUAUCUGCUACUUAAAGAACUGUGGGGAUUGAAUCCAUCAGAUGAGAGAGCCAAUCUCAAGUUUCUUGGCUCUUUACUGAACUCGGGCCAUUUAUCAUCAACAAGUUUUUAAGACGGGAAAUUCGCUGGAUGAGACAUAUGACCGUCAAUUGCUUUUCUAGCAACAUGCCAAGUCAAACUCUUAGCUGUCAUAUGUGAUUGAAACAUCCUUUUAAACCUUGGAAUUGGAGGAAAAUACCACACCACCUUCGCUGGCACACUCUUUUUCAAGAUUGAAUCUUUGCAUUCCUUCCACCUUGAGAUACCACAAGUAGGACAAUUAGUUGAAUCUUCAUAAUCAUUCCUAUACAAGAUGCAGUCAUUGGGACAUGCAUGGAUAUUCUCAUAACUCAUCCCUAAAGGAGAUAAUGUCUUUUUUGCCUCGUACAUAGAGGAAUAUAGUGUCUUUCCUUCUGGAAGCAAAUCUCCUUGAAGUAUCAAUAAUUCUAUAAAACAAACAUCACUCAUCCCAUGUUUUGCUUUCAAAUUAUAUAACUUCACCAAAGCCGACAACAUCGUGUACUUACUGCAACCAGGGUACAAGGAUUGAUCUCAAUCCCCAAUCACAUUGGCAAACUCAUAAGGAUCAAAUCCAAUAUCGCCUAAAUCAUUAUCAUCCAUCCCUACUUCUUUAGAAACAAAACUGAACCUACUUUGCUCAUCUUCUUCCACAUUUCUACUAGCAUUAGUAGUCAAUUCCCAAGGUUCUCCGUGCCAUGUGCAAAUCUGAUAGCUUUAGUCAAUUCCAUUAAAGUAUAAGUGGUCCCUCAUAAUUCCAACCCCAAACAAUCGAAUAUUCCCACAUUUAACACAUGGACAACGAAUAUGAGUUGUAUUUCCAAGAUUUUCUACAGCAAAAUUCAAAAAUCCUUCCACCCCUAACUCAUAUGCCUUCGGUCUUCUAUCCGCAUGCAUCCAUGACUUAUCCAUCUCACACACUAUAAAAUCAUAUAUAUAAUAAAGUGAAAAGACCAGCAAUGAAACACUACUUUAUUCACAUAGCAAAGAAUGAAUUGAAAAAAAAAAUUAACCAAGAAUCAGACGACGGUUUUUACAAAAAAAAUCGUCCUGUAACAGAGGGUCAGACGACGGCAUAUCUAGUUAUCGACGUCUUUAAGCUACCCAAACCCAGAUAUUUGUAUUGCUUUUUGAAGAACCGGGUUCUGGGUUCUGGUAAACAAAAGAUGACGGUAAAUGGAGAAACACCGACGUAUCCUAAAACUUGAGACGACGGUUUAUUUCACCAACCGUCGUCGUAGUUUACGAAAAACAGAAGUCUAAAUCUCCCAUCCUCAUUCCUUUUCUAAGAACCCUUAACAAAAUGCAAACAUCAAAAUAUAAAAGAGCCAUAUAUAGCUCCCAAUUAAGAAACCAAAGCUACCAAAACAUAUAUUAAUAAACCAAAGCUACCAAAAUGAACGAAAACAUUUAUGGGUUUUACAAACUAAGAGAAUAUUGAGAGAGAGCUGAGAGAAUAUACUUACAUGGAUAUUGAGAGAGAGCUGAGAGAAUAUAACAAAUGCUUGAGAGAGAGCUUAGAGAAUAUACACAAUGCUUUGAGAGAGAGCGAAAAAUUUAAGACAAAUUUAUGUUGAAGAGAGAGAAGGAAAUAUUUUAGGGUUAAAGGGAAAUUCUGAAAAUUUUAGAUCACCGUCAAAAUUUUCAAAGGACCGCGUUUUUCAAAGACGGCUAAGGAAAACUACCGCCAUUGUAAAUCAUUUUACUACGACGGUUGAGGAAAACUACCGCCAUUGUAAAUCAUUUUUAUGUCGCCUCUAUAAAAACCGACGUCUAAAAUAUUAAAUAAUUAGAUUUGGUUUGCAUUUCGUGGGAUUCUAACGUGCGUAAUUGACCAAAAAGAGCGAGAGAAAACCAGCGUCGUUUCUAUAAAACCUAAACCCUAAACCCUAAACCCUAAACUCUAAAACCUAAACACUGAAAAAAUUAACCAAAAAUUGCUAUGGACUCCUUACAACAAUGCCUUCUAUAUUAGUAGGCUAAAAUCGGGAUUAAAUAAUUUUGAAUUUUAUGACCACCAAUGGAUCACAUAAACCUUAGGGUUAUGUUUAUGGAAAGUAUAAGGAUUAUUGUGUUUUGUCUCUAAAUCUUUUUUACUUUUGUUAUCACUUGUAACUUUGAAAUCUAAAAUUAAAAUUUUCAGGCCUUUAGGGGGGAGAUAUUGUCUCAAUGUGUUUAUAGAAUUUGAGACUGCGAAGGUUCUAGCUGAUUGACUAAGGAUGAGGCAGGAUGGAUGGAAGGUUUGCUUGGAGAUUCUACCUUUGUCAGCUCUUCUGGUUGACAUGUUGUUUAUUCUGCCUGAGGAACUACUUCUAGAUUUUUCCCUUUUCUAGCAGAACUAGUCUCUGGAAGUACUUGUGUGUCAUCCUUAUUCUUGAGGAAGACGCAGUAUUGCCUUUGAACUCUCCUCUUUUGCAUUCUGGUUAGCUUCAGAGUUGGUCUUCGGCUUUUUCCAAUAGAAUAUCAUCUACCUUCUAUGAUAGUUGCAAAGGGCUUGUCAUUUCCAGGCAUCUUAACUGGUAUUUCCUUCUUUGGCUGCUCUAUUAUUCUCUUGUUGCGUUGGGCAGGCCUUAAAUAGUCCUUCUGUCUGGCUCUAUCUCUAGGUGGAGCCGGAACUAGGCCUUGUUGGUAUGAUGUUCCAAUCCUGUCAAAAACACAAGGUGUGGGCUGACUUUGCCUAACCAGAGUUACCUCUAACUCACUUUCACAUUUGCACCUGUUGCACAAAACUACCCCAGCCGAAAUGGUUGCUUUUGGUCUUCAAUUAGCCUAUCUUUGGACUCUUCUGCCUAUGCUGGGGCUAACUUUUGCUGUUAGUUUGCCUUUCUUUUGUUUUGGCCAAUUUAAGUUGACCAUGUUGACUUGAGGUUGGGGAAAAGGGUCUGUUGUUAUCGAAUGAGGUUUCUCAGCCAGUUUUAGCCUCCAUGCUGUUAUUCCUUCCUGUAUGACGUCCCUGAAAACAACACAACUAUUGGUGGAAUGGUCCCAGGAGUUAUGCCAUCUGCAAUACUGUCUGCCCUUGAGUUCCUCUAGCUUGGGCAACUUGUAGGGUGUUUCUAUUGCCUUCUGUCGCAGCAUGUCAUCAAACAGGGCAUCAACCUUGGUUAAAUCGAGGGAAUAGACUUUGUUAUGAGCUGGUUUGUUUGGAACAAACCCUCUUGUGAAUGGUGGUGGCUUUUGGUCCUUUGGUGGCUUUGUUAAAGCCUUGCAACUGAUGAGAUGUUUUAAUUUCCCCAUUUCUGCCACUGCAACUUCUCUCUCCUCCGAGCUUUCUAUGCCUUCUUCUGAUUCUACCUCAACAAGAUUUACUGAAGAGGAUGGGGUUUUGUAAUAUGUGCCUUUGAAAGAGUUCCUCUUCUAUUGUUCUUCCCUGAGCAGCUCCUUGUAUUUAGAUGCUUUGUCUGCUAGUUCUGCCAGAUCUCCAAACAGCAUCCCAUCAAAUUUUUUUCUCAGAGAGAUUUUAAGGGAGAUUUGAGCCAUUUGGAUGAAGUGCCCUUCCUCCAUAGGGAUUCAAAAUUUCAUUUUGAGCUUUUUGAACCUGGUUAUGAAGUCUUGGGCAGGCUCAUCUUCCCUCUAUUUCCAGGUUUGAGGGCAGCAAGAUCACUGAUGGUGACUUCUGGCUGAAUCCUAAAAUAGUAGUCAUGGAAGACAUUUUCCAUCUAUUUCCAGGUUUGAACAGAAUUGGCUGGUAAGCUAGUAUAUUAGAUGAAGGCUUGUCCAGAGAGAGAAUUUCGAAAAAGCCUUAGUUUUAACAGAAGGUUAUUUUCUAUGGCUAUGCACUGGAAAGAGAAUCUGCCUAUAUGCUUAACUGAUGAAGCAUGGGUGUCUUCUCCGUUGAACAAGGUGAAGUGUGGUACCUUAAAGCCCAGGGAUAGAGGUAUUUGAUCGAUAUAAGCUGGAUAAGGCUUUCUGUAGGUGGGCCUUUCUCCUCUUCUGGCCUCAGGUUCCAUCAUCUCUCUGAUCAUUCUAUAAAGUGCCCCCAUGUCAUUCAAAGCAUUGACAUGAUGCGGGGUUCGCCCCUGUUCUGGCUAGUUGUGUUCAAUCCUUUGUUCUACUUUAUAUGGCCUGGGCAGAACUUCCUCCCUAUGCUCUUCCUCUUUUUCGAAAUCUGGAUGAUUCCUUUAGUUUGCCCCCGGUCUGUUUUUGUCAUUGUUGGCAAAGGGUUUAACUCCUACUCUACCUCUCAUGCCACUUGCUAGUGGAGGGAAUGGAUUGGGGUCCAUCCUUCUAGGUCUGUAGGGCAACACAACUGGUUGCUCAGGCAGAAGUGCCAAGGCCUGAUCACGUGGGGCCACUAGUUGUGGAAUAGGUGGAGGUUCUGGCUAGUUCUGAGGGGGUCUGAACUGGUGCAGAGCCUUCUGGAUGAACUGAAUCCUCAUGUUCUUGGAUGGGAAGGGCUCCUCCCCUCUGUCCAGCUUGGAUUUCUCCAUGUCCUGGUAUUCCAGCUAUCUGUGUGAUGAGAGGCUUCUCUUCAUAUGGCCAUGCCAGUCCUGGUAGAGGUCCAAAAGGGAGAUCUAGCUGCUGGACCACCAUGUCUAGGUUUGGAAUUUUGGCAAUAGUAGCCUCACGGUCCUUCCUGAACUGCCUGUUGACUUGCCAUUACAUCAUGGUUGUCAUGUUGUUUAGAGUAUCUUGGCUCAUUUGUGCUGUGGCUUCUUGCCGAAACACAGCCUCCUGUAUCUAGUUUAACCUUCUGGAACCAGACAUGGAACGUCUACUCGUGGUACUGCCAUGGGCUGAUUACCUAGCAUCACUUUCUUUUGACUCAAGUCCUUUUCGGAGAGCUGCUUGAUCUCUUUUCAUGGCAUAGCGUGGAUUCUGGCUAGAACUUCCAAUAUUCAUAUACUAGAGGAUUUUUCUAGAAAUAUAUGUAUUGAGAAGUCCCACUGGGCGUGCCAAAUUGUUCAUCCGUUUUAGAUUUGUUCCUGUGAUGGUAGGGUAAAGUUCCUCAUUGACUUGAAAACCAUUGGUGGUCAAUAAGUCAACUUUCUUUUGUGUACAAAUGUGCCACUGCUAGCAAUAAAAACCCUAGCAGACUUCUUAAAAAUAGAAAACUUGUGCCCAAGUUAUUAACUUCUAAAUAAGCGAUUGUGAAUUUGGGCGAGGAAUAUCUCCCAAGUAAGUUCUUUUCUUUGCCUCAGAUUGGUGAGGACUUCACAAUUUUUCACAGUACAAAACUGGUAGUUCUAGCUAGAAUAAAUGAUAAGAAAGUGAACUGUUUUCAGGCAGAACUACCUUUUACAAAGCUUAAAAAGGAAGACCAACUCUAAAAAGACAAAAAGAGCUUUUGGACUUCAAUUUCUGCUUGGAUAAAUGCUUCUGAUCCGGGCUGGACUGGGUAUGUUUGUGCUGGACUGGACUAUCAACACCUUCAACUGUCAAGUUUUAGCUGUCAAUGAAUACCAAUGUUCGAGUGUGGCAAAGCUUCAAUCUAUUUCAAGCCGUGCAAGGCUUUUUGAACGGACAGAAUUGGAACCUCUUCAGUCUGGAAGGGGUAGAAGUGGCUGAAUUUGGUGAUUACUGAGCUGGAACUGCACUGUAGUACCUGUUCUGCUUGAUCAGGGCUCUCCAUAAAUUUGUUGAGGUUUUAAUAUUGGUAAAACCCGAAGCUUAUGUUGAACCAACUUUGUAACGAGAGAAAUCUUGCUUUGAAUGACUAUUUCUCUGAAACUAAACAGAAGUUAGAGAUUCUGGAAUAUAGCUGACUUGUUUCUUAUGGCUCAAUGAGCUUUUGGUUGCUUCAGUGUUUUGAAGGCUUUUGAGAUCAAGUGAUCAUUUUGAGUUUUUAUUUUUGAUUGAUUUUUUGGCUGUCCUUUUAUCUGUUCACCUCAUCUCAUAUUUAUAGAAUAUACUGGAGUGUGAUUUCUAAUCUUUUAAUAAUGGGCGGCAAAUCUUUUAAAAGAUCUUUUUUUCUUUUUUCAAUGUCAUAAGAGAAGGAAGCUACUAUUCUGACAGAGAAAGGUUGUCAACAAUCAUCUUUCAAUUUUUCUAUGUUCACUUUUUGUUCUUUGUAAAGAGAAAGAACACAAUCUACCAUGAUGGUCAGUGUGCUUUUCCUGUUGAACAACUCCCUCGUUCUCUACUUAUCUCUUGAAAACGUAGUCUGCUUAUCUCUUGGAAAGACCACCUGAUUUGGUGCAGAGCUUCUCUAUAUAUAUAUAUAUAUAAAGGGAUUUUGAUCUUCUUCUUUUGGCUGAAAAAAUAGAGAAGUCUUUCUGUAAGACCUGCCUUCAUUAAUUUUCUAUCAACUUCUCUGUAAUAGUUGAAAAUUUUGACUUUUCAAAGCCAGGUAUUCACGUGGGGUUGUUUAGAAAAGAUCUGUUGAUUUUGUCAAUCUUUUAGGGUAGAGAUUAAAUAGCGUAAAAAGGCUGGGCUAGUCUCUUUUUCUUAGUAGAUAAAAAGCCCAAAUAUUUUGUCUCACUGCCCUUUUCUGGAAAAUAAAUGGGCUGGGUGUGUUGGAAAUUGGCCCAAUCUUAAGAAAGACUCUGGUGGCUGCCCAAAAUUGACAUAGGCUUUUCUUGAUUUUGGGCUGGGCAUGCCAAAUUAGGCCCAAACAAUGCCCCUUAAGUCUGAAUUGUUUUUGGAAUAGUUUCAGACUUAAUGAUUUGGCCAUUAAUUUGUGCGCGCCAUUUCCUUCUGUUAGCCCACAUCUGCCACGUCUGCCUAUUAUGAUCAAGACUUCGUGGGAAAGUGGGCAGUUACUAGCUAGUUAUUAUCAGGUGGCGUCUUGUCUUCUUCUUCCCACGAUUUCGAGUCUUUCUAAGAAAUUUAAAAAGACCUCAGCUCCUGUUUACUCAAAACCUAACUUCUUCAGACCUUGAUUUUCCUCAGUUUUCUCAGAAUUUUUACCCUUUUCUGCGAUCAAACCCUGCUUCCUUUCAGUUUGAUUCCCCUAUCCUAGCUCAAAACCCGAAAAUGUCUUCUCCAAAAAAUCGUGCCCAGACUUCUUCUUAUUCUGUUCCUCCUACCUACAUUACUGGGGCCGGUGUUGAUAAGCAUGUGAUUGAAGUCCGGAGCAAGCUUCAUCCUUUUGCCCAGAACGUUCUGGACAAGAACGUGUUACAUUUGUUCGAGAACACUCUUGUUUUGGAGCCUCAUCGGUUUGGUUCUGUCCCGACUGAAAUGGCAGAAUUGUUUAAAGAAUAUACUGAAGCUCCUCUAUGCUUUCAGAGCUCUUUCGUAGAUUUCAGUUUUAUAUAUAAACUAUCGUGUUUCUCCCUAUAACAUGUCGUUUUUAAGAAUUGUUGUCAAUGUUUUAUUUCCUGCUACUAUAAGACGGCGAUUAUUUAUACAUAUGAGACGUGUAAAUUAGAAUGAGACGUCAGUCUUUGGGAUUUAAAUUAAGUUUUUACGAUUUAAUGUCAUUUUAGUUCAUAUAAGGACAUAAAUGUCCUAACCAAAAAUAUAUUUAUGUACAUUGUCAAUAAAUUAAAAUAAACCUAAACAUUGUUAAAAUAAAUUAGAUCACUUAUUAUUCUGUAAUUACUUGUUAACGAAUUCAGCCCAUUCCAACCUGACUUCGUCAAUAUGUUCUUAUACAUACUGAACUGGUUCCUUUUUCUUAUCAAACUGCAAAUAAAUAACAAAAACCAACGUGUUAUAAAGAUUACAACGACUGCUUUUAAAGAAAAAGUUGUGGUACUAAAAUAAAGAAUUUAUAUCUUAAGUUUUGCCUUUUACCUUCUUCUCAAAUGCUAGGCCUGGAUCAUGAAUUAUAUCUCUCAUGAAAUGCAUCACGUAAUAGCCACACUCUACAUUUGUUGGUUGUCGAGGAGUGCCAUGUAGAUUUUUCCAUAUGACUGAUUUACAUGAUGAUUAAUUGCCUGUGUGAGAGUUAUACAUUUUGAUUGAACUGUUUCAAGAAAAUGAAAAGUGUUAAUGAUAAAAAUAAAAAUCUAAAGCAAAAAUAUUAAACGUCGUGGUAAAUAAGUGAAGACGAUGGUUUUGUUAAAAAAGUGAUGUUGUAUUUCAUUUCAAACGUUGGUAAAUAAAAACCGUCGUUGUGUAGAAUUCUAACGUCGGUGACGAUGAAAAAUGACGUAUAACCAAAAAUUGUUUGUAAAUGAAAGUUGAACAGAAAAAAAUAAAACUUCCUUAAAUGAAAAACACAAACGACGUGGUAUUUCAAUUAAAAUGACGGUUUACAGAAAAUACUGACGUUGUAAAUGAUUUCAAACAUCGGUUUGAAGUUACCAUCGUGUUUUCAUUGUAACGUCGGUAUUAGAAAAAGCCGUAUAUCAUUCAAAUGCAAAUAAAAAAAUGUUAGAUUUUCAUAGAUAAACUUACAUAUUCACUAUAUUUCUCAUGUCCUCGUCAACAACGCGGUUUGGCAAUGAAUCCAUGUAAUAGAUAGUCUCCUUCGCUGGUCUCACAAUUAUUAACACCCAAUGACCCCUACACAUAAUGAUCCAUAUAGGUUAAAUAUACUAGAAAGAAAAAUAGGCAUCAAGUAUAGUUAAGGGGACUAACCUUGGAUUACAAGGCACCAUGUAAAAUUGAUCCCCAUUUGCGUUUUUCAGGCGGUCUGAGAGAUGUUUCAAACGGUAAGAUAACGUUCCAGAUUGAGAGCUGACUUGUCCAAGGUCCACGAAGCCAAUAAGGUUUACCAUAUUUUCUAUUUUUAAAUAGUCAAAUAGGCACCUAAAUAUAUGAAAUUCAAUUAAAUGAGAUUUUAACUUUAAAGAAAGGAAAUGUAUAAUGCAAUCACUGUGGAUCCAAUCUCAACCAUGGAAGGAAAUUGUAAAAUAUCUUCACACAAGAGGAAGGUAUCAUGGUUAAUGCCAAAGGCUUCCUCUGGAAUGUGAAUUCUAAUGGUCUCGUUAAUGGGCUUCAACUUGGUCUCGACAAAUUGAAAUAAGGCUAACAGAGGAGGUGGCAUGUCUAGCUUUGAGAGAUCCUGUUACAACAAAUAAAUAAAGAAAUAUAAGUUAGUUUGUACACUAAGUAAAAUAAACGACUCUAACUAAACCAAUCAAACCGACGUGGUAUAUAAUAUAAUCGACAGUUUCUAGAACAUACUGAAGGAGUAAAGGUUAUAGACGACGGUAAAGACAUAACCAUCGUUAUGUAAAUGUUCUAACGUCGCUGCAUUAUGGAAAGGUCGUCUAAUUAAAAUGCAGUGAAGCCUUUAUUGAAAUACACGACAGUUUAUAAAAUAAACACCGACGUAGUAAAAUACUGAGACGACGGUUAUCAGCAACGUCUAUUUGAAAUUAUAAAUCAGAAAAAAUCAAAUAUCAAAGAUUUUACCGUUUCAUCUUGCCAUUGUUUAGCAACAUCAGCAUCAUUCGUGGGAUUUUCUUCCUCCAAAACAAGGGGUCUCACAUUAGAGCAGCUUGCUUUGUCAGACAUUAGAUUUUUUGGAGUAAUUGGAGUUUUAUUGAGCAAGUUGGGAUCACAGUUGGGAAUUAGUUGACUGAAUUGUUUCAAUAAAAUUUCCCUCUCUGCUCUGACUGCCUCCAAAACAGUUUCUUUUGCCUUAGCUUUAAUCUUUUUGGUUUCUUCUCUCACUGCCUCCAUAACACUUUCCUUCAAUUUGUUAGCAAAUUUUACUCUCUGCUGUCUCGACAAAUUGAAGAAUUGAGUUGGGGAAACCCCAGCUCCAACACCUCUAACUCUCCCACCAUGCUCAGGGGUUCCCAAAGCCAAGGUCAAAAUAUCGUUGCUCUCAGAGACAGCAGAGUGCCCUCGGAAACUUGUUUUUUCAAAUCAUCCUAAAAGUGAGAGAGAGAGAGAGAGAAUGUUAGUGAGUGAACAGAUAGUAAAACAGAUUAAAUAAACAACUAUACAAAAAUAUUAACCGACGUGGUAAAGACUUUAAAAAACUGAAAUCAAUCCCCAAUAGUAACAGGGACCAUGCAGCAACGAUUUGGUUGACAGUAGUAUAGGUUGGAGAUGCUGUUGAUCAUUAGAUACUAUUUUUUUAAAUAUCAAUUCUGUAACAUCCAGACCUAAAAAAUUAAUGAUUUUGAUUUAAAAUUAAAUUUAAAUAAGCAAUUACGAAUUUACCCUUGGGGAAGGGGUAUUUUGGUAUUUUUUUUUUAUUCAGAAAGAGUUUGGGGCAGUGACUAGUAUUUUUGGGUAGAUCGUACUGAGACGAAUCCGUAGACACGCGGUAGGCCUGAAUCGGAGUUGUAACGAAGAAACGGUGACCAAAAUUAGUCCAGUGGCAAACUUGUAAAUAUUUUGAACUUGGGUGUAGAAAAAUCUGAAACUGGCUUCCUCUCUCCUGCGUGCACACGUCCUUCUCUCUCUCUCCUCUCUCUCUCCUCGAUACCAUCACUCUCUGUCUCUCUCUUCGAUUCUCUCAAUUCUGGCCACGGCAAGGGCCGGGACUGGUUCCGAUCAACUCCUCACAAAGCCCCGAACCAGAACCACCACUUUUCUUGGCCGGAAAGCUCGAGUUUCGCGUGGUAAUCUCGACUGGUUUGAACCAGUUUUCCUCCGUCAUUGUGCCGCCGCCAUCGCAGCCCAAUCUCGGUUAAACAAGUGAGGUUUCUUACUCUUUUUCCGAGCUCUAGCUGCCUGUUGGGUAGGAUUGGAUUGAUUUUUUGUCUAGGAUCCCGAUUUUGAAACCUAAGUUUUGACGAAUUUCAAAGUGAAAUUCCGGCCGGUUGCCGUCCUAAUUAGACCUCCCCGUAGUUGAAUAAAGUGAUCCUCGCUUCGAGUAGUAGCUAAGGUAGGAAUGGUGAAUUGCGGUGUGGAGUUUUUCCAUCACUGAAAAUUACUCUACACAUCCACGCGUUGCCAGGGCAUGUGGAGGCGCAUGGGCAAUGUGGUGAGACCACAUUUUAUCCUGAUGUAGUCUCCUAGUCCUCACGUGCGCGUAAGUGUGCUCGAAUUUCAAUUCGAAUGUUGUUUGACUAUCGAACGGAUUUAUGCAUAUUGUUUCUUAUCCGGGUUCAAUAUGUUCGGACCAUUGGAUCGAGUCCAAAUUUACGUAUGUUAAUCUAGGCACCCCUAGGAUCAUGUGCGAAUUCGCGGAUCGUGAAUCGGAGCCCCGAAUGUUCCGAUUCAAUAAUUUGAAGUUUAUGGUUUGCGAUAACCGUCAAUUUCUGACCAAACCUACAGGACGUGUUUCCUAAACCCGUAGUCGGACCUUAGAAUACUCGUUAUGCGUGCACGCACCGGGAACUUGAGAAAAUUAGUAUUUAAUUUGUAAAUUCCGUUUUGAAGUGAUUUUUUAUUAAUUAAGGGUGCGUAUCUCGAAAUAGGUGCUCCAUCACUAGCACGCAGCAGGUAGGACCCUCUUGAGGUCAGGCAGUGUGGGACUACUUGUGAGUGGACAUUUAUUUUAUAUAUGCAUUAUUUUCAAUGAUUGAAAGAAUAUGCAUGAAAUAUAUAUAUUUUUUGGAAUAAAGAUUGAGAAAUUCAUAUGUUGUUAUAUCAGUAUUAUUUAAUUUAGAAUUUGGUUUGAUUUGAUGAUGAGUUAUAUAAAGGUCAAGUUAUUCGUGAUUAAGUCUUGGAUGAAUUUUGGGGGAAUCGGGAAUUGAAUAUUAUGGUUUAUGGUGGGAACUUAUAUGAUUACACUGUGUGGAGUACCAUCCCCUAGUUACUAGGCUUCCCACAUGUGGCGUUGGAAAUUUUCCAGCGUGUGAUGAUGUAGUCUGCACGCAUAGGACUUAGUAUUGGAGCUACACGUGGCGUUGGAAUUUCCGGCAUGUAAGCUAUGGAGUUUCGUCCCCCGGUUGGACCGCUCAUCCCUAGACGCAGGAUAGCAACUGAAAAUCUUGCGGGUUAGCCAAACAAUCCCCCGGUUGGAUUGUUUCCCCGGUACCUAAGUAGUGUGAUAAAUAUUAUGUAUAUUUAUAGAUAUAUAUAUUUCUAUGUGUGUGUGUGUGUGUGUGUGUGUGUGUGUGUGAGUAUAAAUCAGUUAAAGUAUAUGUAGUGGUUGGGUAAGAGCAGUAUAAAUUUUGGGGAUAAAGUUUAUGGAUAGAGUGAUUGAUCUCAAAGGGUUUCGGAGAAUGAUGUUUUUGAUCAUUAAAUAAAAGUUAUGAAUCUGCAUGUCUUGAGCAUUAUUUUUAGACGGUGGGGUUAUUAUGUUGUUUUGAAUGCAAAUUUUGUUUUUCCACUCACAUGUUUUCUGUUUUGCGCCCCCCAAACAGUAGUCGCUCAAGGGAGAGUUGCAAGCCAUGUUCGAGGCCCCGAACUGUGAACAUCAGUAGAUUAGGUUUCGAGUAAUUUCUUUCUACUCAACUGGAUGUUCUUGUAAACUAAAUUCGUUAGAUGCUCUAUUAUUGCCCCUGUUAGGUUUUACUUGUGAGGCCAGAGGCCAUUUAGUUUAUACUGUUGAAUAAUAAAUGCAUGCUGCUGGUUGGGAUUAUAUUGUGCUUAUGCAGGUUGAAAUUUUUGGGAUUGUUCAAUUUACAUGGGAGACUCUAGCAAAAUUUUAGUAGAGAGUCUCGGUUUUUAAUAAGUGGGCCAGGCAUCGGGGUAAUGUCGGAAAUAAGACUGGAUUCGUCCCGGUUUCCGAAGAAUUCGAGGCGGGUCCUGUCAAGUUCCUCCUAUUAACAAUAAUAAAUUAAAUAUUUAUAUAACUGAUAACAGUUCCUCAUAUUAACAAUAAUAAAUUAGUAUUUUGUAUAAUAAACAUGUUUAAUGAAAUUCAUCUUCUUCUAGCAUGUUUAUUUAAAUUCUAAGUUUUCUGAAGAAAAAAAAAAAAAAAAAGGAGAAGGAAAUGUCCUAAAUUAAAUCUUAAAAGUUCAUUUUUUUCUGUCCCUAUAUAUUUUUUACCCAAUUAUAAUUUGAGAAAAAAAGGUGAAUUAACUGUCAUUUCACCUUCAUCAUUUUCAUGAUUUAUAUAAGAUUCUUCAAAGAUCAUUUCCACAAAAAAUUACUUAAAUUCGAAUCCAUUUAACCGUCUAAUUAAAUCGUUAGGACCGUUGAAAUAAAAUUUAAAGUGAGUUUAAAGUGAGUCCUACUAUGUCUCCCUCAAAUAAGAUCAUUUACAGGAUCUGUCGAGUCAUAUGAGAAUGUUUAGCUUUUCGAUCCCAAGAGUUUGGUUCGAUUUUCAUAUAUAUAUAUAUAUAUAUAUAUAUAUAUACAAGUCAAUUUACUUUAAAAAGUUCACCAAAUUUUAUUUUUGGUCUCGGUAGUUUGCUUGAGGGCCUUUUUCUGUCAAUCUAUUUGUUGUGAUUGAAAGAUUUUAUAUAAAACAAAAGAUAUGUUUUUAUCUUAAAAAAUGCUUAUUUUCAGAUCUUUACAUAUAGACAUACAUAUGGCCUGAGAAUUCAAGCAAUAAAGACAUAAGCUGAUGAGCAUUCAUAAUCAUUAGAAUGAGUACUGAAUGGUCAACUCUUUCAAAAUACUUCGGAAAAAAACAAAGGACAAUACUUCCUUCCUUACUCAUAAGAAGGAACUCCUUCUCACCUUCUAUUGUCCCUCAACCACAAAGUAACAAGUGUUCUCUUUUUUUAAUUGUCAAUUUUUUUUUUUUCACUUUUACUGAACCCCUAGCUUUUUACCAAAGCAAAAAACACAAAACAAUAUUCCCAUUGUUUUUUUUUUUCAUUUUGAUUUUUUUCUCAACUUUUUGAAAAAUAACAUUUUUCCUUCUUCAGUAAAAAAUUGAAGUCUUUGUGGUUAAAAGCUAAGGUUUCAGUAAAGGUUUAAAAUAAAUAAAAAGUUUUGACAAUUCAAAAAACAGAACACAUAUCACUUUGUGGUUGAGCCGCAAUAGAAAGUAAGAAAGAAUUCCACCUUACCCAUAAGGAGGGAAGUAUUGUCAAAAAGAAAACAUCUUAAAAAACACACAGAAAACCCACCAUCACUACUUAAAAGAAGUAGAGAAGUCCAACAUUCUGAUUUUUAUACACCUACGUGACGUGAGCAUUCAAUAAUCAUCCUACACAUAUGUUGAUGUGAGCAUUCAAAAUCAUUAGAAUGAUUUAAUUGAAGACUCAACGUACGGACGUCUUUUUCACUUAGAUUCCCUUCCUGUACAAACUUGAAUCAGUUCCUCCACGACCCCAUCAAUCUCUUCAUCCUCUUUCUUGUUCACGUUGUCGCUUAUUUUCAAUGCCUUUUUUCUCACUCCCUCUCCAAAUUUCUCCACAACCACAUCUCUAAUCACCUUUGCGACCUCUUCUCUUUGCAAACUUCCUUCACCUGUUCUCUUAACCUCCACACCAACACCCACCUCCUCCACUAGUCUAGCGUUGAUCGGCUGGUCAAGAUGCAUAGGCAUGGCUAUAAUUGGAACACCAAACUUGAUGCUCUCCAACACUGAGUUCCAUCCGCAGUGACUCACAAACCCCCCAACACUAGAAUGCUGCAGUAUCUUUGCCUGUGGGGCCCAACCCUCCAUUAUCACUCCCUUCUCUCCCACCCUCUGUAAAAACCCUUCUGGUAACACCUCUUCAACCCUAGUACUUCUCUCCUCCUUAGAAAAUCUUAUAACCCAAAUGAAGCUCACUUUGCUAAGCUCUAAUCCGUGAGCUAUCUCUUCUAUUUGCUCCUUGGACAGAAAGUACUCACUGCCAAAGCAAACAUACACAACAGAAGACCUUUCCAUUUUGUUCAGCCAUUUCAUGAUCCAUGUUUCCUCAUCAACUUUUUGAUCCAUUGGCUCUUGAACAAGCGUGCCAACAGGCACGAUCUUCUUCCCCGUUAAAUCAGAGAGAUAAUCAAUAUAUUUUUCUUCAAUCUCGCUGGAUGUCUUGACCAAAAUGAUGUUACAAGAUCGAGCACUGCAUUGCUGAACACGGUCUCCGUCUUUGAUGCCAUUUGCUGAAGAUUCCAACAAAUUGUUGAACUUUUCAGCUUCGUAAUGUUGAAGAUAAAUCGAAGGAAAAGGAAACUUGACACUAGGGUUCUUGAGAUGUUGAAUACUAAAUGAAGUAAAGGCAGCACCCAUGGUGGUGAAUUCAAUGGAUGGAAAAUUUUGCAAUGAAGCUAGAGAGGGCGCCCAUGGUUGAAGAACAUCAUAUAUGAGCAAAUCUGGACUUAGGGUUUUGAGGAUGUUGGAGAAGUUGUUGCUGGACAUGCUGAAAGCCGUUUUGAGAGUGGACAUGAGAUGGGGAGGGAGGCCAUUGGUGGUGUGGUAGUGCGGUGGGAGUUCAGGCAAGUCAUCAUGUGGAAGAUGGAGUUCCACAAAUUCAAUGCAAUGAGAAUAUUUUUGGGAGAGUUUAGGCUUGAUGGAGCUGAGAUUUACAGGCGUGGAACAAAUAAAGAUGUGAAAAUUUCUCUUGGUGGUCAGCUUCUUGGCUAGCUCUAGGUAGGGAGAUAUAUGGCCGUGAGCUAGCCAUGGAAGCAAAAGAAUAGUAAGGCUUCUUUGGUCAGAGAAAACCAUAUUUUGUUUUCCUUUGACUUGUUUUCCUUUGACUCUUUUGCUUGAGGUUGCUCGAUUAUAGGCUUAUUGGUAGUUUGUUUGUGGCUAGCUCUAUGCAUAUAUAUAUAUAUAUAUAUAUAUAUAUAUAUAUAUAUAUACACACACAAAAACGCGUGAUGAUUGGAACAUGCACACGUAAGUUCCAGAGAGUGAUGAUUGGCCUAUGAUAAAGACUCGAAACAAGAAUAGUUUAAAUUUUCUUCUUUGUUUGGCUUGAUAUAAGACGAAUGCACCAAACAAACCGACUAAAUGCCGACACAAUAAUUAGGUACGUAAUAAUAUCAACUUUCAUUAUAUAGAUCUGAGAAACAAAAAGUUGAACUUUGAUGACAAGCGAUAUUAAGGAAGGGCACAAUCGAACUUAGGAUCUCGAAUGUUGAAGUACAUGCUCUUAACAACUUGAGCUAUAAGGUAUUUGUAAUGACAAUUUAUGGUUUUAAUUAUACUUUUGAAUAGUUGCUUCCUUCUCUUUCAUUUUUAUUUUUAUUUGUUUAUAUUUAACUCUAAUUUUAUUUAUAUUUCUGGUCAAGGUAUAAAGACUUUGAAUCUCUCUCCAAUUAUUUUUCACAGCCGAAACUCCUUUAGUUUCCACAAAUCUUUUUAAACAUUUCAGGCAUAUGUAUGUUUCCGAGUCGGAUGGUUCACGUAACCAAGAAAUUUAAACUUGUUUUUGUUUGUUCCUCCGAAGAAAGCACAACAAAAGGACAACCUACAACCAAUACUUCUCAUUGAAUUUGUUGCCGUGAAUGAUUAGGACUCUGCCCAAACUAGUAGUUGCGUUUCUGAAUUGUUUGAAAACACAUAUCAAAUUAUGAUUUCUCCUCCCCGAAAGAAAAAUUGACGUAGAAGUAUCAUGAUCUUGAUGACACAAAUUAGAAUCUAGGGUUUUCGAAGUGCCUAAUGGACAACUACUUAUUUAGAAAUAUAUAUAUUUUUGUGGCUAAAAUUUAAAUUUAUUAUAUAUAUUCUCAAUGCAGAAACACAUAAAUCUAAGUUCGAAUUCAUCCUUUUUUUGUUUUUUUUUUUUUGUUUUUUUAACCCAGAAGAAAAAUUGAGUCCCACUCUGCUGUGUAGAAUGCGCGUUUAGUAUAGAUUUUUUUAUUUUUGAGUCUCUUAUCUGGUUCCCGAGCUUCUACAUUUAGGUCUCGUGUAUUUAUCUGCAUUUUCUUAAAUCUAAAUCACUCAAACAAUCUAACCACUUAACAAAUGACACGUACUCAAACUUAAAAUCAGAAUGGAUGGAGUAGAGGCUUACACCGAUGAUUCUUGGUCAAGACUUGAGAGACAGAUGGAGACGAGGCAUGACAUAAAGUCUGAAGAAGAGAAACGAGGAAGCUUCAUUUAGAUGGUGGUGUAAGUGCAUACGUAAAGUCCAGAUUCAACAGGAAAGCAUCUUAAACGUAAAGAAAAUAAGUUUACCAGAAGCAAAAGAGAUACUGAAGUAAUUGUUUAUCAACUGAACUUAAACGAAAUAUUAACUCUUUGUUGUGCCAUAAGCACAAGAUCUUAUGAAAAAAAAUUCAAGAUAAACCAUAUAAUAUUGGGAGAUUCACGUUUAUACCGAAUAUAGGAAUUCAAAUUAUAAAAUAAAUAAAUAAAUAAAAUAAUCGAUAUGAAAUGGACUUUAGAAACACACACAAAGCCUAUUUACAACAUAACAAAAAGGUUUUUCCCUUCUUUUAAAUUACAAAACUGCCAUUGAUUUCUUAAAACAAACCCAACUCCAAAACCUCAUUAAAAAAGCACAAAACACUCAAUAGGGUGUCAAAGUAAUUUAAUAAUAAAAAAUAAAUUCAAUAAGGCCAAUUGAAUUUUUUGGAUUUUUUUUUGGGUUUGUUUAUAGAAAUUAAUGGUGUAGGGUUUAUCUAUAUUAUUGGUGUUAAGAAUGAAUAAUGACUAAAUAUCUCUAUAAUAUUUUCUAACUCACAAAAUAAUAUAGAAAAUAAAUGCAAGAACAAGAAAAUAGCAAUAUGCAAUUUAACGAAGCUGCUUACAAUCAGUGCAAAUGAGCAAACAAAUUCGCUAUUAAUUUAUGAAGUGUUUUUGUAUUUACAAUACCGCCUCUUGAAUGUCCACCAUACAAUAAUAUAGUUGCAUCAUUAAAAACUUUACUUGAAAAAUCGUUUGGGACAAAACUUAAGCUAAGAGAAAAAGAGUGCAACACAAAUGAUAUUGACAUCACAUAUGUCUCUCCUACAGAGUGAGCUUUGGUGAUGCUUGUAUAAAAAUUGCUUUCACAUCAUUAUUGGGAGAUGUAUGUAUGUCAUCAAUCAUUUGAAUCUUGUUGAGGUUAAAGUAAAACCAAAAAAAUAUCAAGGGCCAUUUUCAUAUAGUUUUUCACAAUAAAAAUUAACAAAAUAACUUCAUGUUCUUUAAUAUCAUCAAAAAAAUAAUAUAAACAAACUCAUAGUUUACCUUUUCAAUGAUAAGUGUUUGGAAAAUUUACAUGGAAUAAUAUUUGGUAUGCUAUGCUAGCAUCUCAUAAGCUCUUCAAGAGACCUAAAUUUUAUGAUAACUUCUUAAAAAAAUUUGAAUACUUUUCAACAAUAUUAAACUUGAAUUCAAACUCAUAAUUCAAUCAAAGUACUCAUUGAGGCAAUUUAGAUCAUUUUCAUUUUAAGAAAAUUGGGUGCAUACAUUGAGCUUCAUGCCCUUUACCUUCUUAGAGAUUUUCUUCGAGCAAUUUAUAUUGCAUGACAGAUUAUAUCUCUUAGAAUUUGUUCUUAUGUAUUCUUCAAGAGAUCUCUUCUUGCAAUAUGCUUCAAACACUUCAUAAUCUUUAUAGAUUUUUCAUGUAGAUUUAAGGUCUCCAUGAAUAUUGAGAUUGAAACAAGGAGUAAAAUAAAAGUUUAAGAAAAAUUUUCCCUGAUUAUUUUGUAAUUAUAAUGUUGGUGAAAACCUAAUUUCCUUUCUGAAAUUUGUGAAAUUUGUUAUUUGGCUAAGCUAAAAGUAUAAUAUUGACAAUAAAACGUAUACGAAAGUUUCUCUUUGGCUGGCUUCUUGGCUGGCUCUAGGAAGGGACAUUGCGGCCAUGAGAUAACCAUAGGAAGCAUAAUAAGAAUGCUUGGAUGCUCUGAACAAUCCAUUUUCUGACUCUUUUUCUUGAGGCGGUUGUUUUCUUAGGCCCAUCAGAGUUUAUGGUCGACAGAUAAGCUUCAAACACAUGCAUUGGUCGUGUCAGUUGCGAUAAACUCUUCCCAACAAUCUGAGACUCACAUCACUCCAAACACAUAAAAAGAAGUGGAAAUUUGCUAUUCUUUGUCUUUGUUUGGACAGCUAAUAGCAAAGCAUUGGAAACAUCGAAAAAAGAAAGUUAAUUAAUUUAAGAAAAACAAAGAAAUCCUUCUUUUUUUUUCUUUUUUUUUUCAGCAAACCGAAACAUAAAAUCCGAAAAAGAAGAAGGCAUGUCCAAAAUUACAUCUUGAAUUUAUUUUGGAGAUUCACUAUUAUACUCAAAUUAUAUAUGAAAUAAAUUUUAGAAACACACAUGACGCCAAUUUACAAUAUAACAAAAAAACUUUUAACUUCUUGUAAAUUACAAAAUUGUUAUCGAUUUCUUAAAACAAGCCUAAUCCUAAAACCUCAUAAAAAAAAAAUCAAAACACUCAAUAAGGCAUCAAAGUAAUUUAAUAAUUAAAAUUAAAUUUAAUAGGGUCAUCUGUCAUUUUUUGGAUUUUUUUCGAAGUUGUUUAUAAAAAUUAAAAUAAUGUAUAGUUUGUUUAUAAAAAUUAAAUGAUGUAGAGUUUCUUUAUAUAAUUAAUGUUAAUAAUGAGUAUAUGAAUAAAUGUCACUUUUCUUUAUUAACCAUUUAUAAUAUAUGAACUCAAGACUUCCUAUCGAACACCGAAUGGUCUUUCCAUUCCUUGUUAAUUCAAAGUCUGAAAAUGUUCGGUGUCAGCUCAUGAAUUUAAAGGCUUAAAGGCUCAAAACUUGAACGAAUAUGAAAGAAAAAAGUCGUUCACCGUUCAUCCUCUUCCUGCAGCUGUGCAUGCUAAUCACCCACUGAAUUAAACAUACAAAUACGCUUUAUGUUUUCUCAAAUUGUUCUUUGAACUAAGUAGAGGUUGGAAUACACUCGGGGUCAACAUUGUUCAAAUACAAAACACUUCUUAAUUUUAUAUUUUAUCAAAACAGAUCGAAACUUCAUUCAAACUGAGAACCUAGAUUACAAAACUACCAGAAAAACUGGAAUCUGCACUGUGGCCUCAUUAAAACCUUGCUUUAAAAAACUCCUAAAAGAGGAGAAUUCAGUCAAGAAAAAAGAGUACCACAGCAAGUGAAAUCCGAUAUCAUACUUCAUUCCUUUCUCAUACAAAGUUGAAUCAACUGCUCUACCACCCCAUCUAUCUCUUCAUCCUCUCUCUUUUUCAUGUUGUCUCUCAAUUCCAUUGCCUUUCUUUUCAAACCCUGUCCAUUUUCUUCCACCACCACAUCUCUGAUUACUUUUGCUAUCUCGUCCCUUUUCAGCCUCCCGUUCUCGUUGCCGCCUCCUCCCAUUCUCUUAACCUCCACACCAACUCCAACGUCCUCUACUAUUCUAGCGUUAAUAGGCUGGUCAAGAUGCAUAGGCAUGGCUACAAUUGGAACGCCAAACUUGAUGCUCUCCAACACUGAGCUCCAUCCACAGUGGCUCACAAACCCACCAGCACUAGAAUGCUUCAAUACUUUUGCCUGUGGAGCCCAACCAUCCACUAUUAUUCCCUUCUCCCCCACCCUCUCAAAAAACCCUUCUGGUAAUACCUCUUCAACCCUAGUACCUUUCUCUUCCUUAGGAAAUCUUAUAACCCAAAUAAAACUCACUUUGCUAAUCUCUAGCCCAUGAGCUAUCUCUUCUAUUUCCUCCUUGGAUAAAAAGUACUCACUGCCGAAGGAAACAUACACCACCGAAGAUCUUUCUCUAGUGUUUAGCCACUUCAUGAUUUUUGUUUCCUCCGAAUCCACUUCUUGCUCUAUAAGGUCUUGAACAAGUGAACCAACAGGCACAAUCUUCUUCCCAAUUAGAUCAGAGAGAUAAUCAAUAUAUUUUGCUUCAAUCUCUCUAGAACUCUUAACUAAUACGAUCUUACAAGAACGAUCGCUGCACUGCUUAGCACGGUCUCCAUCACUGAUGCCAUUUGAUGAAGAUUCUAACAACAUCUUGAUCUUACUAGUCUCGUAAUAGAUUGAAGGAAACGGAAAUUUGACACCAGGUUUCUCGCCAUGGUGGGUACAAACUGACAUCAUGGCAGCACUGGUUGUGAAGAACUCGAUGGCUGGAAUGUUUUGUAACAAAGCUAGAGAGGGUGCCCAUGGUUGAAGAAAAUCAUAAAUUAGCAAAUCCGGGUGUAGGGUUUUGAGGAUGUUGGAGAAGUUAGGGCUUGCCCUGUCGAAGGCGGUUUUGAGAGUGGACAUGAGGUGGGGUGGGAGGCCAUUGGUAGUGUGGUAAUGAGGUGGGAGUUCAGGCAAGUCGUCAUAUGGAAGAUGUAGUUGCACGAGUUCAAUGCAACGAGAGUAUUUUUCAGAGAGUUGUGGCUUGAUGGAUCUGAGAUUUACAGGUGUGGAACAAAAAUAGAUGUGAAAAUUUCUGUUGGUCAGCUUCUUUGCUAGCUCUAGGUAGGGAGAUAUGU